rnacentral:misc_RNA from 1 species
UCUCCGUUGGUGAACCAGCGGAGGGAUCAUUACCGAGUGCAAACUCAUAACCCUUUGUGAACCUAUAUCUGUUGCUUCGGCGGCUCGCUCUCGGGCGAGCCCGCCGGUAGUAUCAGUAUCUCUGUUUGAACCCGACGAUACUUCUGAGUGUUCUUAGCGAACAGUUAAAACUUUUAACAACGGAUCUCUUGGCUCUA